rnacentral:rRNA from 1 species
AGAGUUUGAUCAUGGCUCAGGACGAACGCUGGCGGCGUGCCUAACACAUGCAAGUCGAGCGAAGUGACUCUGAGAGAAAUUUUCGGAUGGAUCGAAGAGUCAUCUUAGCGGCGGACGGGUGAGUAACGCGUGAGAAACCUGCCUUUCACAAAGGGAUAGCCUCGGGAAACUGGGAUUAAUACCUUAUGAAACUGAAUUACCGCAUGGUAGAUCAGUCAAAGCGAAUAAGCGGUGAAAGAUGGUCUCGCGUCCUAUUAGCUAGUUGGUGAGGUAACGGCUCACCAAGGCUUCGAUAGGUAGCCGGCCUGAGAGGGUGAACGGCCACACUGGAACUGAGACACGGUCCAGACUCCUACGGGAGGCAGCAGUGGGGAAUAUUGCACAAUGGAGGAAACUCUGAUGCAGCGACGCCGCGUGAAUGAUGAAGGCCUUCGGGUUGUAAAGUUCUGUCCUUGGGGAAGAUAAUGACGGUACCCAAGGAGGAAGCCCCGGCUAACUACGUGCCAGCAGCCGCGGUAAUACGUAGGGGGCGAGCGUUGUCCGGAAUUAUUGGGCGUAAAGGGUUCGCAGGCGGUCUGAUAAGUCAGAUGUGAAAGGCGUAGGCUCAACCUACGUAAGCAUUUGAAACUGUCAGACUUGAAUUAAGGAGAGGAAAGUGGAAUUCCUAGUGUAGCGGUGAAAUGCGUAGAUAUUAGGAGGAAUACCAGUGGCGAAGGCGACUUUCUGGACUUAUACUGACGCUGAGGAACGAAAGCGUGGGGAGCAAACAGGAUUAGAUACCCUGGUAGUCCACGCCGUAAACGAUGAGUGCUAGGUGUUGGGGGUCAAACCUCGGUGCCGCAGCUAACGCAUUAAGCACUCCGCCUGGGGAGUACGUACGCAAGUAUGAAACUCAAAUGAAUUGACGG